rnacentral:rRNA from 1 species
GAUGAACGCUGGCGGCGUGCCUAACACAUGCAAGUCGAACGAAGCACCUUACCUGAUUCUUCGGAUGACAGUUUGGUGACUGAGUGGCGGACGGGUGAGUAACGCGUGGGUAACCUGCCCUGUACAGGGGGAUAACAGCUGGAAACGGCUGCUAAUACCGCAUAAGCGCACGAGGAGACAUCUCCUUGUGUGAAAAACUCCGGUGGUACAGGAUGGGCCCGCGUCUGAUUAGCUGGUUGGCAGGGUAACGGCCUACCAAGGCAACGAUCAGUAGCCGGUCUGAGAGGAUGAACGGCCACAUUGGAACUGAGACACGGUCCAAACUCCUACGGGAGGCAGCAGUGGGGAAUAUUGCACAAUGGGGGAAACCCUGAUGCAGCAACGCCACGUGAGUGAAGAAGUAUUUCGGUAUGUAAAGCUCUAUCAGCAGGGAAGAUAAUGACGGUACCUGACGAAGAAGCUCCGGCUAAAUACGUG